GCGGUUAAAAAGCUCGUAGUCGAAUCUGUGUCCCGCGCCGCCGGUUCAUCGUCCGCGGUGUUAACUGGCGUGCCGCGGGACGUCCUGCCGGUGGGCUUAGCUCUUCGGGGCGGCCCAACUCAAUCCCGCCGCGGUGCUCUUCAUUGAGUGUCGAGGUGGGCCGGCACGUUUACUUUGAACAAAUUAGAGUGCUUAAAGCAGGCUAAAACUUCGCCUGAAUACUGUGUGCAUGGAAUAAUGGAAUAGGACCUCGGUUCUAUUUUGUUGGUUUUCGGAACCCCGAGGUAAUGAUUAAUAGGAACGGAUGGGGGCAUUCGUAUUGCGACGUUAGAGGUGAAAUUGUUGGAC
rnacentral:rRNA from 1 species